GAUAAAUCCCAGGAUAACUGGGCGAAAGGGUCGGCGAGGCUAAUUUGCUGGCCCCCUAUCAAGACGCGACGGGUUCGCGAUGAAACUCGGCUGGAAGAUUGCUUCGGCGAUUGGACGGACGGGCGGAAUGCGGAAAACCGGGCGGGGAGAAGGCACAGUUCACACGAGUGCCCGGUGGCGUUCGCACGCUGCCGAAAAUGCGAAAUGGCACUCAGGAAGUGAGGGGUGAAAAAGUGCGGGCGAAAGCUCACACAAAGAGCCACCCCGAACUGACUCACGAACGUGAUAGAGACACUUCAGGCAACCCUUCGGGGAAGCUAUGCAGACCGUCUCAUUCGCCGGACUGGUCCAGAUUCGAUUCCUUCGGGGAUUGGAACUGUAAGUCAGAAACUCAAGCCUGCUUCGGGCCUGAGUGGAAAAGUAGUUGCCCAGAGGGUAUUGGUUGCCUACUACGAAAAUUGGCACGGCAGGAAUCUAAAAUUGGCCGGUGACGGCCAGCCAGACGAAAUCCUCUGAAAGGAGGGACAAAGCUGGGGUUCCCGUCGGGAUAGCCACGAGCCCAAGACAACGGCCGUGAAAACUAUCCGGCAAGGUGGCGAUGCAAAAAACUGCAGCGCUGUCAUGUGAACGAAAUGGCAACCUGAGGGGUAAGAGGCGAGACCCGUGGCACGGGCCAACGCACCGCCAAAAGCGGUGGCCGACCUGUGCCAGAUGGCUUGGAUGUGAUUGGUUCACAUCCGCGUCCAAGCCUGGUCCGCGGGUCAGUGGCCGCAACCACUGGCUGAAGCGGGCAAAUAAACCUCACCCGAAAAUUCAAGUGCUGUAAGGCCUUGGACGGCCCUGUUAUGAGGCCGACAACUCCGCGAGUCACGGGGAAUGGCGUCGGGGAGCAAUCAACCUGCUUGCAGGUGCCUAAUGAUUGUAUCUGGUAAAGAGCGUGUGGCGAGCGCC
rnacentral:ncRNA from 1 species